UACAGAGGUCCCAAGCGUUGUUCGGAUUCACUGGGCGUAAAGGGUGCGUAGGCGGUCGGGUAAGUCUGACGUGAAAUCUCCAAGCUCAACUUGGAAAUGGCGUCGGAUACUAUUCGGCUUGAGGAGUGGAGGGGAGACUGGAAUUCUCGGUGUAGCAGUGAAAUGCGUAGAUAUCGAGAGGAACACCGAUGGCGAAGGCAGCUCUCUGGGACGGUACUGACGCUGAGACGCGAAAGCGUGGGGAGCGAACAGG
rnacentral:rRNA from 1 species